UUGGCCUCUUUCCAGUCACCAGCUCCAGCAAAAGCAUAAUAGCAGUCAGAUAUUAGGCCAUAUCAGACAUAAGUUUAUAACAAUAGAUUUGAGUGCUAUUGUUCCUUUUGUAUCACAGCUAUUGUUGAUUAUAUUUUGUAGUUCGGAUUCUCUGAAUUUCUUAUUUUACUUUUCUUCUUAUGAGUUCUGUUUAUUCUCUGACAGUAUAUGCUAGUAUAUUUUAGUCAUGCUAUCAUCUGUGCUCUUUGUUUCCUCCCCUUUGCUGUGUGCUAGCCAGAUACUUGGUAGUAAUAGAAUUUUGUUUAAUGUCUGUCAGUGCUAUCAUCCGAUGUGUGCUAUCAUCUGUGCUGUGUGUUGUCAUCUGUGCUGUGUGCUAGCCAAUAUAUGCUAGUAUAGUUAAGUUCUGUACUUGGUAGUAAUAGAAUUUGGAGCCAGAUACUCAAAACACUUCUUGUAUGACUCAUAAAACAUGUUACCAGUGCUUGUAUGGCUCCUAAAACAGGUUACAACUGUGUGCUAUCAUCUUGUAGAAGCAUGUUAUCAGUAGAUCAUAUAAUUGCAAGAAUGUCGACUCCGGGAACCAGUGGGUAGCAGGCUGCAGGUGCAGGUGCUUCUACUCCAUCUGCUACACCUACACCUACUCCAUCCUUUGAUGCUCCAGCUGCUGCACCGUCACCAGGUGCUGCACCUACACCAUCACAAGACACACAAGGUAUUGAUGUGGUGGUGGUAGAUGAUGAUGAUGUAGGUGGUACAAAUAAGAGAAAGCUAAAAUCUGUCGUGUGGGAAGAAUUCAAAAGACUAAAAGUAGGGAACAAAUGGAAGGCUGAAUGUAGUUGGUGUCAUAAAAUGCUAGGAGCGGAGACAAAAAAUGGUACCAAUCACUUGCAUGGCCACCUUUCAAUUUGUGAGUCUUGACAGGUUAGGAAAGGCUUAAAACAAUCCACUUUGAAGUUGUCAAAAAAUCAGGAUGGGCCAGUUGUUGUAGAGAAAUAUGUGCCUGAUCAAGAUCUUGCAAGGAAAGAACAUGCACUAAUGAUAUGUGUCCAUAGGUACCCACUUUCUAUGGUUGACCAUGCCGGCUUUCGAAAGUUUUGUGCUGCAAUGCAGCCAUUGUUUAAGGCAGUGUCUAGAAACACAAUUAGGAAGGAUAUAUUGGAUAUGUAUGAUGGGCAAAGCUAUCUGUGGUGAAGUGCUUCCAAUAGUGCCAAUCUCGUAUUGCUAUCACAACAGAUAUGUGGACAGUAAAUCAUUAAAAGAAAGGGUACAUGGCAGUGACAACACAUUAUAUUGAUGAUGACUGGAAGCUAAAAAGCUUCCUUUUGAGGUUCAUUUACGUGCCAACCCCACAUACAAGUGAAGUUAUAAGUGAUGUCCUUUAUGAUGUACUCAUGGAUUGGCAUAUCGAGAAGAAGGUGUCAAGUGUAACUCUUGAUAAUUGCAACACCAAUGACUCUCUUAUGGAAAAGAUGCAAGAUAAGUUGCCUCUUGACUCUCUUAUGUUAGGUGGUAGAUUAUUGCAUAUGCGUUGUGCUGCACAUAUCUUGAAUUUGAUUGUGAAAGAUGGAUUGUCUGUCAUGGAGAAGAGCAUUGAGAGGGUUCGUGAAAGUAUUGGUUAUUGGUCAGCAACACCAAAAAGACAUGAAAGGUUCGAAAGAAUGGUAUCUCAGAUGAACAUUAAAUAUCAGAAAAGAAUAGCUCUUGAUUGUAAAACUAGAUGUAAUUCCACUUAUCUUAUGCUUAGCACUGCAUUAGAGUACCAACUAGUCUUUGACGCCUUGCACAACGCGAAAAAUAAUGUGCUACUUUUCGUUCAACAGAGGAUGAUUGGAAGUUUGCUAAGGAGCUUUGUGGUAGAUUGAAUAUAUUUUAUGAUAUCACUGAGAUAUUGUCAGACGCUAGUUUAUGUUACUGCAAACAUUUUCUUUCCAAAAAUCUGCGGUAUUCAUUUGGCUAUUAGGAAAUGGCGAGCUAGUGAUGUCCCGGAGAUAGAAAACAAUGUCAAAAUUGAUGAAAGAAAAAUUUGAUAAAUAUUGAAUAGAUGUUCAUGGUCUCAUGGCAAUUGCUACGGUUCUAGAUCCUAGGUUUAAACUACAAUUCUUGAAAGCUCUUUUUAUCAACAUUUAUGGAAAAGAAGGUACAAGUAAUGAAGUUCAGAAAGUAAGAGAUUUGAUGUAUGAAUUGGUGUUGGAAUACCAAGGUUCUAUGGAGGGUGUUGCAACAACAGUUGAUAUUGGUGCUUCUAGUACCACUUCUGUGCAGAACGAAGAAGAUGAUAUGGUCUUUGACAUAUUUGAUCGAUACAUGUCUUCGCAGCCAGUUGAGUCAUCUUCUUAUGUGCGCACGGAGUUAGACUUGUACUUGGAUGAGCCAACAUUACCUAGAACACAAGAGUUAGACAUCAUUCACUGGUGGCAGUAUGCAGGGAUCAAGUAUCCUACUUUGAGAAAGAUUGCUCGAGAUACCAUGUCAAUUCCUGUGACAAUAGUAGCAUCUGAGUUGGUCUUUAGUACUAGUGGGAGGAUCAUUAGCCCAUAUCGGAGUAGACUUGCUCCAACAAUGGUAGAAGCAUUAAUGUGUAUGUAAUCUUGGUCUCGUGCUCACAUGUUAGGGUCCAAGUCUCCUAUACUUAAUGCAAUAAUGACUUGUCUUGAGAAUGAAGAGGAAGAAGAAAUGACCCGCCGGGUCUCGGAUCCCCGUCGAGUUCGGGUUUGGGGGUGAAUUUCAACCCGAUUAUCAAUUGGGUGACUUGGAUGCAUCAAUGUAUGGCUUGAUGUGACGAAGGUGGUAUGACAAAUUCAUCUUGGUGGAAAAAGAUAUUAGGAUGAUGAGGCAUGUGGCGCAUACUUGGCCGGUUGAGCGGAUGGAUUUUCGUAGAGCUGCAGCGUAUAUUCUGAUGAGUAGAAGCAGACUGAGCGGAUACAGUAACUCUGAAAAGAAGAGUGUUUGGUUGUCUGCACCUACGAAUGCAAUGACCGUGUGAUGGUGUUCGGUUGCCUGCAUGAGUGGAUGCAGUGACCCUGCACCUGAGACUAACGAGUGGGCCCGUUGCAGUACUGUAGCAGAUGCAAUGCAUAUUAUAUAUUGAAACUUUCCAGGAGAUAAAUCUUAACAUUA